GGUGGACCCCGCGUGGCGUCUAUCCUGUGAACUCCCCCAGGGCCGGAAGGCAGCAAGGGUCAACGGGCUCUGUCGGGUGCGCGGGGUCCCCUUCA
rnacentral:SRP_RNA from 1 species